UUGUUGAUUUUAUGGAAUAAAUCUAUAUUUCAUUUAUUAUUUAGUAGAGAUACAAGCCUAUAUAUAACCAUAGAGAAAUACACUUAAGGAAAUAAUAUCAAAUAAUAUCUCUAGAAUUAUAUCUCCUAAUAAUAAUCUAAUUAUAUUAAUACCCUCCCUCAAACUCAAGGUUGAAAUCACAAACUUGAGUUUGCUAAGAACUAAGAAAAGAAACAAUAUAUCUAGAAUAGAAUAAAAAACCCGAAGAACAAACACACAAAGAACUUCUAGGUUAGAACAAACCCACGAAAAACUUCUGGGAUAGAAACAUAGAUCCUCGUAUAGAGAUCUAUAACAGAACCUAGGAAGAACGAAACAAGAACUUCGAGGGCAAAAUGAAAGAGCAAAACUGAAGCAAAGUAGAAUCAAAGCUGGACGAAAACAAGGUCGGAAUUGGACAGAAGUGUUUUGUCGGAUCAGAUGGAACUGAACGAACUAAACUAGAGCAAGUCAGAAUCAGAUUAAACGGGAAAUCUGGGGCGAACAGAACGGAAACUGAACUGAAUGGAGCAGAGAGGCUUAGCGGAUCUGAACAAAAACAGAAUGGAGGCGUCGUUGGAUCUGGGCUUCGAUCUAAACUUCAAAGGCAGACAUGAAGAAUGGGUCUGAAUGAAAUCAUACAGGUCUGGAACAAAUUGGAGGCGGACGCGAGGAUCUGAGGACAUGGGGUUUCAUGGGUUUUGUCGAGACAACAUAAAAAGAUGGAGCAACGACAACGAAACACAGCCGCGAGCGGAGCUUCUUGGACGAUGGACAAAACCGAAACUCUUCGGCUGGGCGUUCGGCUUCAAACGGCAGAGGCGUUCGGCUUCAACUGGCAGAGGUUCAAUCGGCUGCUUGGCUAACAGAAAAACAAGAGGUCGGACGAAGAACUAUGAAGGAGAUGGCCGCCGCGGACGCUAGUGAAAAACUAAUGGGGUUUCUGGGUUUGGAUAGUGGCAGAUUUGAACAGCAAUGAGUGGCAAAGGAAGGUGCAACGACAACGGCAGAUUUGCAGAUCUAAGGGGUGGCUUCGGCUAAUGGGAGAUGAUUUUGCCUCCGUUGAUGGCUAAUGAGAGAUGAUUCUGCCUCCGUUGAUGAAUGAUCAACGGAGGCAGAGAUCAAACGGGAUGUGGAGGCUAGAAUUCAAUAAGGCGAAAACCCUAGAGCUCUGAUACCAUGUUGAUUUUAUGGAAAAAUCUAUAUUUCAUUUAUUAUUUAGUAGAGAUACAAGCCUAUAUAUAACCAUAGAGAAAUACACUUAAGGAAAUAAUAUCAAAUAAUAUCUCUAGAAUUAUAUCUCCUAAUAAUAAUCUAAUUAUAUUAAUAC
rnacentral:lncRNA from 1 species